rnacentral:lncRNA from 1 species
UGAUAAGGAGCCAAGCUGUGCUCAUGCAAGUUGCUCAUGCAAGCCAUGCAUGGCUUCAUGCAGACCGUGUUUCACGUGCAGGAUGAGUUUAUUGAGUGUCAAAACGAGAGCAGGAGAAUUACCACUUCAAAAUAUUCGUUUCCUGUUUGGAAGAGAAUCAAGGCGUGGUGGUCAUGUUUGAUUUGGAUUCGGUCUCUAAGUUAUCUUUAAAUAUUUCUUCUUGUUUUAUUUUACUAUAAUCUAGCUGAUAUUGUUGGCUAGGAAUCAAAGACUUGUAAGGUUAGCUAUUAUAAAUUAGUUCUCCGCUGCGAAUAAAAGAAGAAGAAUUAUCAAACUAAAUUAUCUCUGGCCGUUCUCACCAAAAGCAGAACAACAUUAUCAUCUUUUUUUAGUCAUUGUUAGCGUGCAUCUGACUGGGACCUAUCAAUUGGUAUCAGAGCUAGCUAUUAAUGGCAACCAACAAGGAACGCAUCGAACGAAUUGAAGCUGAUAUCGGGAACUUACAGAACAAGAUGGAACAAAUAGAAAUUGGGAUCAAUGACAAGCUGCAGCGUCUGGAGGACACUCUGAGCAAAUUGGCAGAAUCUUUUAGUGCAACCAGAGGCACUGCCAGUUGCGGCACUAACGAGCACAUUGGAUCUUCACGACCAUUCCGUGAGGAAAGUGAAGGACGUCGACCACCGUUGCCGACAAGAAUUGCUAAGUUGGAGUUUCCCCGCUAUGCCGGCGAUGACCCAAUGGAGUGGUUCAAUCGGGUGACGCAGUAUUUUGAGUACCAAGAAACCACAGAUGAGCAGAAAGUAGUCUUAGCGUCAUAUCACUUCGAGGGCGAAGCAAAUCAAUGGUGGCAGUGGAUGCGCAAGGCUUACCAAGAAGAAGGCCAACCGGUUACGUGGGAAACAUUUGUUGACGAGCUUUGGGCGCGCUUCGGACCAACGGAUUGUGAAGACUUUGAUGAAGCACUGUCUCGGGUCGAACAAACACGUUCUCUACGAGAAUACCAGAAGGAAUUCGAGAGGUUGGGAAACCGAGUUCAUGGGUGGUCACAGAAAGCGUUGGUGGGAACUUUCAUGGGAGGAUUGAAACCGGAGAUUGCAGAGGAUAUACGGAUGUUCAGGCCACGUACGUUAAAGGAAGCCAUCAGCCUUGCUCGUAUGAAAGACGACCAGAUAACACGCCAACGGAGAUUAUUCCAGCCACCCUCCAACCGCACACCGCCAACAUUGCCACCUACUCAAGCAUCACCAACCGUGCCUGUCAAAAGAUUACCGUGGGAUGAAAUGCAACGACGACGAGCUCAGGGACUGUGUUUCACUUGCAACGAACGGUUCACUGCGGGUCAUAAAUGUCAAGGGCCUCAACUUCUACUUCUCGAGAGCUACAACGACACCAACGAGAUCAGUUGUGAAGAAGUUGCAGAGGAACUACAUGGUGAAGAAAACAAAAGAGAACAACUUGGGAAGAUACGGCAUUGCUACAACAAUAAUUCCUUUGCUGACCCUUGAGGACAAGGGUCCUCUUCCACGAGGGGGUAUUGAUAAGGAGCCAAGCUGUGCUCAUGCAAGUUGCUCAUGCAAGCCAUGCAUGGCUUCAUGCAGACCGUGUUUCACGUGCAGGAUGAGUUUAUUGAGUGUCAAAACGAGAGCAGGAGAAUUACCACUUCAAAAUAUUCGUUUCCUGUUUGGAAGAGAAUCAAGGCGUGGUGGUCAUGUUUAAUUUGGAUUCGGUCUCUAAGUUAUCUUUAAAUAUUUCUUCUUGUUUUAUUUUACUAUAAUCUAGCUGAUAUUGUUGGCUAGGAAUCAAAGACUUGUAAGGUUAGCUAUUAUAAAUUAGUUCUCCGCUGCGAAUAAAAGAAGAAGAAUUAUCAAACUAAAUUAUCUCUGGCCGUUCUCACCAAAAGCAGAACAACAUUAUCAUCUUUUUU